UUGAGAAGUCAGGUGAGUCCUUUUGUGAAAGCGGGGUGGGGGGGAAGUCGGGGAGAGUUGGAUGCUUCCCUGAUCUGCUCCAACUGGAAAUAGCCCUGAGUGGCUGGCAGCCUUGCUCCAGAGCUCAGAGUACCCAGGGCAGCUCCUGAUUUUAUAGGCUAAUCUGAGACCGAGUCAGUUGCCUUGGGAUAUUAGGUCUAAGGGGUAAGGUGACAAGGAGCUGGGAAGGGACCCCCCCAAACCCCCACGUGCUGUGGCUUCACAGGUGGGUGCAUCAGACUUCUGUGCUGCCCUGCUUCUGUUUCCCUCACUAAGUUCUGAAAUAGAUAAUUGCACUGAGGUGGGGGCCAGGCCAGUCCAACAAAGGCGCUCUGAGGUUGGCCCGCAAUGCGGAAACUGUCAGUUAUCCUGUUGGAGGUCCUCCCUCCAUUUCUCGGAGCAGGGUCCUCAUUCCUGUUAUAGACCCGUUGGUACAAUGCUGAUGUUCUAAUCCCUUUACCCUCUUCUCCGACCAAGAGAAAUGCGUGCACCCGAAAGAGGAGGAGGCCAGGGAGGGAGGGAAGGAAGAAAAGGAGACAGAGAGGAAGGAAGAGAAUCCUUGCGAAAGGAACAAUCCAGGAUCCAGCCCCUUGACCUGGAAGCCAGACUUCUUCUGACGUCUACAAGACCAUGCAGAGGGGGCAGAGACGAGCGUGGAGAAGACUGGGAAGAAGAUUGUACCAACUACAAACCCUGCCCCCACCCCGAUCCCCGCGAGGGGGACGAAUUCUGAAAGAAGCUGGGAGUCUGCAUCCGUCCAGCCUUCUGGGAGCUCCGAAUCCUUCCACAGCCACUCGCUGCUGUCCCCCAGCCUUUGUAGCUUUGAAAUCCAUCGGACAUUUCAGGUUGGUUUAAAUAGACGGGGAGAUGAAUCAACAAAUCUAGUUCAAUUGUCUUUGCUUAACUUUUUAAUCCAUAGUGCAAAUGUGUGCUGAGAAUGUAUUAAUCCUUGUGUACCCAAGUUAAGUGAUGAAAAAAUAUUCUAGGAGCCUUUCAUGACAUGUAAGGGAUUCUACUAGCUCCUGCCCUGCACAAGGCAUUCACUCCUCCGUGCUUUACAGCUGCAUGUGGGUGGGCACCGAGAGGUCCCCCCAGUGUGUCAUGUCUCAGAGGCACCAGGGAGGGAGGGUCCCAGAGGACACAGGACAGGCCUGGGGCAUGUGGUCAGGCUGUGCUUUCCUUGGCCUCUGUGGUGACAGCUGGAGGGAACAAGGGUUCAAGGCCUUGGGUACAGAUGAGCUCAAGCGCUUCUGGGAUGAGUUGCCCAGCACACGGAAACUCCCUGCCGGAAGUGCAGUGGCUCUUCUCUGCCGGAAGUGCAGCGGCUCAUGGAAAUGUGCUUCCAACACUUGCUCCACUGCAGAUGUGGAUUUUGUUUUUAUUCAACAGUUCACCCACUCAUUCAUUAACCAAGGCAUGCACCUCCUGAAGGCCAAACACAGUGUUAAACAGGAAGAACCCUGGCUUUCUGGAGCAACGGAAGCACCUUAUCUGUUGCCCUAAAGCAACCCCAGCCCGCCCCCCGGCUCUCCAUCCCUCCCGAUGCUGCGUCUCCUCCGCUUGGGUCAGUUACACCUUGAACGUCGUGAUUUCCUCAAAGCCUUCGCCGACACCAGCUAGUGUUUAUGGGCAGCCGAGCCGUGAUCUGGGUGCUGAGAGCAGCAAAUCUCACACUGCGGGGGCCCGGGGACUCUGGCGGGGGCCCGAAGAGAACGUGUCUCUUCUAAGCGAGUCUUGCCUGUGACCCCCAACAGCACUGCUUUGUACCACCUCUUACCCUUCCUGCCAGUGUCAUCAUUCCAGGGACACUCAGGCCCAGAAGAUGGGGUGAGCAGCCCCCCACACUCCAGAGGGGGAUCCUCCCCCUCUUCAAGUCCAUGCCCAAGCUUGGACGUGCCCCAGGUGGGAAGGGGCCCAAGUCAGUUCUCGUGGGGUAAAGGGAAAUAGGAAACCAGUAAUUCUUUGUGUUCAUGUUUUGUCCACAUUCAUUAUGUCCUUUGACUGUGGCUCACCGCGACCAUGACUGUGUGUAAUUAUCUUCCUGUUACAGAUGUGGAAACUGAGGCCAGGAGAAUAACUAACUGGCUGAAGGUCACACAGCCAGUAAAGGGUCGAUCCAGGGCUAGACGCGUAUGUUGCAGGUGAACCUGACCUUUGUGCUACCCAGUGGCUCAGCCUACCCCAGGGCAUCCUUCACCCACUGACCUGUCAGCCCGUCCUCACUCACCAUAUGGGACACAAGGGGCCUUAGGACCCAGGGCUUUCCCUCAAGGUACUUGAGCUGAGUAUUGUCAGUGGGCAGAACGCCAGCGCUCAGGGCUGUCUUCCCCUCCCCUGCCGUCCAUGGAGCCCCCGCCUCCCUCACCUCACACAGCGCCAACUCACUCCCGGUAAAUGCAGUGUUUUUCCAUUCCAGUGAGCUCAGCCCUUACUUUGAUUUGGGUGCAGGCAGCUGCAGGUGCCUCAAGUUAUCAUGUGCUCUCUCCCCGCAAUGUCAUCCGUGUUUACUUGCCGCUCUGGACUUUCGAUUCUGUCAGGAUGCCAGUCGGCUGGGCCGCCAGGCACCACAGCUGACAGUCAAAUCUGUGAUGCCGAAUCCUUCUUCUGGAAAAAAGGGCUAAAGAGGUUAAUACACUCAAGUCAGGAUAAACACACCAGCUGUUAGAGUUUCUAAUAUUUAAUAUCAUUAUCAAAUAAAUAACUCAAGAAGAAAUACACACACACAUACACACGUCCCACCAAAACCCACAGCAGCCCUCCGCUUCAUCCACAGUAAAGAGAAUAUUAAUAAAUUAUCUUAAAAGCCUCCACAAUUGAGUAAUGGCUGGGAUACAAUUAAGGAAACAUUUGCA